rnacentral:rRNA from 1 species
AAUGAACCGGCGAGUUGCGUUAGUCAGCAAGGUUAAGUCAGAAAAGACGGAGCCGUAGCGAAAGCGAGUCUGAAGAGGGCGAGCAGUUGGCUGACGCAGACCCGAAACCAAGUGACCUACCCAUGACCAGGUUGAAGGCACGGUAAAACGCGCUGGAGGACCGAACCCACGUAAGUUGAAAAUUGCGGGGAUGAGUUGUGGGUAGCGGUGAAAUUCCAAACGAACUUGGAGAUAGCUGGUUCUCUCCGAAAUAGCUUUAGGGCUAGCCUCGCAAAGAGGAUGCUGGAGGUAGAGCUCUGUUUGGACUAGGGGCCCGUCAAGGGUUACUGAAUUCAGAUAAACUGCGAAUUCCAGACAUUUAUGUGCGGGAGUCAGACUGCGAGUGAUAAGAUCCGUAGUCGAAAGGGAAACAGCCCAGAUCACCAGUUAAGGUCCCAAAAUUCAUGCUAAGUGGAAAAGGAUGUGGAGUUGCGCAGACAACUAGGACGUUGGCUCAGAAGCAGCCAUCAUUCAAAGAGUGCGUAAUAGCUCACUAGUCGAGUGACGCCGCGCCGAAAAUUUACCGGGGCUAAGCAUGAUACCGAAACUGUGGAUGUGCGUUUAUGCACGUGGUAGGAGAGCGUUCUAGCGGCGGUGAAGCAUGACCGAGAGGACAUGUGGAGCUUCUAGAAGUGAGAAUGCCGGUAUGAGUAACGAAAGACAGGUGAGAAUCCUGUCCGCCGCAAGACUAAGGUUUCCUGGGGCAGGCUCGUCCGCCCAGGGUAAGUCGGGACCUAAGGCGAGGCCGAGAGGCGUAGUCGAUGGACAACAGGUUGAAAUUCCUGUACUGCACCGAAUCGUUAUGAGCGAUGGAGGGACGCAGGAGGCUAGCAGCGCGUGGUGCUGGAUACCACGUUCAAGCGUCAAGUCUGAGAGUGAGUCAAAUGCUUGCUCUCAUAAGGACAAGGCGUGAUGAGGAGCGAAAUUAAAGUAGCGAAGGCUGCGACGUCACACUGCCGAGAAAAGCUUCUAGCCAGAGACGGUGCACCCGUACCGCAAACCGACACAGGUAGUCGAGGAGAGUAUCCUCAGGUGAGCGAGAGAACUCUCGUUAAGGAACUCGGCAAAAUGGCCCCGUAACUUCGGGAGAAGGGGCGCUGGUCGCAAGAUCAGCCGCAGUGAAAAGGCCCAAGCAACUGUUUAUCAAAAACACAGGCAUCUGCAAAAUCGUAAGAUGAAGUAUAGGUGCUGACACCUGCCCGGUGCUGGAAGGUUAAGAGGAGAGCUUAGCGCAAGCGAAGGUUUGAAUUGAAGCCCCAGUAAACGGCGGCCGUAACUAUAACGGUCCUAAGGUAGCGAAAUUCCUUGUCGGGUAAGUUCCGACCUGCACGAAAGGUGUAAUGAUUUGGGCACUGUCUCAACGAGAGACUCGGUGAAAUUAUAAUACCCGUGAAGAUGCGGGUUACCCGCGACAGGACGGAAAGACCCCAUGGAGCUUUACUGCAGUUUAAUAUUGGGUAUCUGUCAAGCAUGUACAGGAUAGGUAGGAGCCGGAGAAGAUAGGACGCCAGUCUUAUCAGAGGCGCUGUUGGGAUACUACCCUUGCUUGACGGAUGCUCUAACUCAGGCCUGUGAUCCAGGCCGAGGACAGUGUUUGACGGGCAGUUUGACUGGGGCGGUCGCCUCCUAAAGUGUAACGGAGGCGCCCAAAGGUUCCCUCAGAAUGGUUGGAAAUCAUUCGCAGAGUGUAAAGGUAAAAGGGAGCUUGACUGCGAGAGAGACAACUCGAGCAGGUACGAAAGUAGGGCUUAGUGAUCUGGUGGUACCGUAUGGAAGGGCCAUCACUCAACGGAUAAAAGCUACCCUGGGGAUAACAGGCUUAUCUCCCCCAAGAGUUCACAUCGACGGGGAGGUUUGGCACCUCGAUGUCGGCUCGUCGCAUCCUGGGGCUGAAGUCGGUCCCAAGGGUUGGGCUGUUCGCCCAUUAAAGCGGCACGCGAGCUGGGUUCAGAACGUCGUGAGACAGUUCGGUCCCUAUCCGUCGUGGGCGCAGGAAAUUUGAGAGGAGCUGUCCUUAGUACGAGAGGACCGGGAUGGACGCACCGCUGGUGUACCAGUUGUCUUGCCAAAGGCAUCGCUGGGUAGCUAUGUGCGGACGGGAUAAGCGCUGAAAGCAUCUAAGUGCGAAGCCCCCCUCAAGAUGAGAUUUCCCAUUUCUUCAAGAAAGUAAGACACCUCAGAGACGAUGAGGUAGAUAGGCCGGGAGUGGAAGAGCCGUGAGGCUUGGAGCGGACCGGUACUAAUCAGUCGAGGACUUGACCAAAA